GACGAACGCUGGCGGCGUGCCUAAUACAUGCAAGUUGAGCGAUGAAGAUUGGUGCUUGCCCCAAUUUGAAGAGCAGCGAACGGGUGAGUAACGCGUGGGGAAUCUGCCUUUGAGCGGGGGACAACAUUUGGAAACGAAUGCUAAUACCGCAUAACAACUUUAAACAUAAGUUUUAAGUUUGAAAGAUGCAAUUGCAUCACUCAAAGAUGAUCCCGCGUUGUAUUAGCUAGUUGGUGAGGUAAAGGCUCACCAAGGCGAUGAUACAUAGCCGACCUGAGAGGGUGAUCGGCCACAUUGGGACUGAGACACGGCCCCAACUCCUACGGGAGGCAGCAGUAGGGAAUCUUCGGCAAUGGACGAAAGUCUGACCGAGCAACGCCGCGUGAGUGAAGAAGGUUUUCGGAUCGUAAAACUCUGUUGGUAGAGAAGAACGUUGGUGAGAGUGGAAAGCUCAUCAAGUGACGGUAACUACCCAGAAAGGGACGGCUAACUACGUG
rnacentral:rRNA from 1 species